AACUUUGCACUGGAGCAAGAUGUGUUUUCCCAGGAUGAGGAAAGGAAGGUUAGCCCACACUGCUGGAUGUGGAAGGGGAUGGGAACCAGGGAAAGAAUGGUAACUGGGGAGGAAGGGAAACCAUGAUACUUUUGUAGUCGAAGGCCUAACUGGGCGCACUCUGCCAUAACUUGGCCCCUCUGCUUCCUUUCCACUGGGAGUGCCAGAAAUCACAGGGCAGCAGUCGCUCACCCUGCCUUUGUAGACAAGAAAAUGAAACCAUCGAAGGAUGAAUUUCAGCUAGCAUAUUGCCAUCACUCUUUUAUGGUAUAAAGGAUGAGAGAGGCGGUGAGGGAGACAUUGCCCCAAACAUGAUGUCCACAUCCCAAGACUUACCUGAUAUUUCUUAUUACACAAAGACAACAUUGACUGGUUUAAGAGAGAAAAAAAAAAAGGAAAUCCAGAAGAAUGUUUUAAUUGUCAAGCGUGAAACAAGUGAAAAUCAUCAGAAUCUUUUUCCUUCUGUGACUUGGUAGCAACAGUGUGUAAAGCCAAGGCCACCGUGAAGCGGUGGGGGAAAUCUGGGCACCCGCAGACCUUGGCAGACACACUAUGCUAUUUUCAGACUUGCGGAGCCUUUGCACUGCCUCCCUGUCAUCCUCACCUGUCUCUGGUCUGAAAGUCCAUUUUAACUCUGCUUUCUUGGAGGCAGAAACAAGCAUGUGACAGGAUGCAGAGAAUUACUCCUGGCUUUGAUGUCUCUUCAACAGCUUGACGAAACCUGGUUUCUCCACCUGUCUUCACUUCUCCAAGCCUUACCUGCAAGCGCUUCCGUGAAAGCCCCCAGCACACCAUCUCUGGGAUGCGGAAGCUUAGGAGGGGAGAAUUUAAAAAACAAAACGAAGGCAAUAUGAAGGCAGAGAUGGAGCCAUUUCAGAGAAGAGAUUUUUUAAAAAAUCAUUUCGUUCUUUGGAAUUGUCACAGGAUUAUGAUGUGGGUUCUCAUAAAAAUUUCACUCCCCCCAAACCCACCCAAAGGAAAGGCAGUGAAAUGGGGAGGAACACACAUUUGCCUGGCGUCGGAAGAGCUGCCUUGUAGUCGUGGGUUCCAGUGAUCUUGGACCAAUCUCUUCACUUCCCUGGACCUCAGUUUCUUCCAUACAAAGAAGUUGAACUGGAUCAUAGAAAAGAUGCUGUCCAGCUUGGUAAUAUCAGAUAGGGAGCAGAAGCUGUCUCUUAGCACAUGGCCAGAUUCCGGAACAACGAUGAUGGUCUCCAUGUUUGUCCUAAAAAUGCAUCUCAUCUCAGUAGAGAUUGUCUUCCACCUCAUUUGGGUCUCAAUUUAAGGAAGGAAGAAAGGAAAGAAACCCGGGGAUUCUCUUCUUGAAAGGAAUAUACUUCACUUUCUCUAGGCUUCUAGGAUAAAAACUUCCUAUCCUUCAUUUUUCCUCUUUAAACCUGCCAAAAUCAAGUUGAGUAAAGAUACCAUACAGAUAUGAAAAAGAAGCCACAUCCUUAAAUUUUCAUGGAGUCCAAGAGCAUGCUCACCGCCAGUUAGCUUUUCCCAGGAUGGUGGUGGCACUGAUCAUCUAGGUCGCACUUUUAUGUUCAUGUCCCAGAGCGUUUCCCAUCAGCCAUCUCAUUUCAUCUUUUCAUCAUUCCUCUGAGGAACAGACUUCACACAUGUAUAGGACUUUCUAUAUCACAAAGUAUUUCAUAUCCAAUGUCUUAUUUAGAUCUUGACAAUCACUGUUUAAGGUAAUUUGGCAAGUUAUUAAUACUCAUGUUCUCAUUUUACUGAAGAGGAAACUGAAAUGCAGAGAGCUUGUCUUUUGCCCAGGAUCACUCACCCAGUUUAUUGGGAGGCAGCAGCACGGGGAUUAAGAACGUGGGCUAUGCCGACAACCAACCAGGUAGAAUUCCAGCUCUGUCAGUAGUUAGCUGUCUGGCCUUAGGAAAGGGAUUUCACACCUCUGUGGCUUAGUUUCCUUGUCCAUUAAAUGCUCGUAAGAAUAGAGCUUUCCUCACAGAGAUUGGGUGGGCACGGGAGCUAAAUGAGCUCAUACGUUUAAGAACAACCUCUAGCACACAGUGCAUAAUAAAUGUCAUUAUUAUUAGCAAAGCCAGGACCUGGGUCUUCCAGCUUCUAGCUCAGUGGCAUUUCUGCUGCCCUACACCAGGACGAUCCUUCGUGUACAGGUGUGAACCUAAAGCCUUCAGUGUUUCAAUGAGAAGUUCCCCCAAGGUCUUUCUGUUCAGUAGGUCUAGAGCUAAGGGCCCCUGGCACUCUGUUCAGUCCUUUCGCUGGUAAACCACGCUGCCCUCCGUCGCUCUGGGCAGAAUGUCAAACCUUCUUAUGUUUUUAAAAUUUAUAAAUCCAGCACUCUUAUUUAAUAUUACUGACAGCCCGAAGGCAGACGCUCCCGCUCUCCUGGGGAAGAGGGUCUUCUAAUCUGCCAUCUUAAGGAGGUAAAAGGGCUUGACUGGGUAACUCAUUGCAAUGGGCACGUAUUUAUUACUGUCUCCCGGCCUUUUCUCAUGCUGUUUGUACGCUGGAAUUACCACUAGUGCCAGGCCAUUUGAAUAUUUGACCAUUUGUCUUAGAGUUCUCUGAAUACAAAUGUUGUUUUUCAUACCUUUAUUAUGUACUGUUUUAAGAAUGAAGACUAUGUUGCAUGUUGGUUUGUACUCUCUCCUGCACAUAAAAAAUGCUUAGUAAAUAGAUACACAAAUGUU